GUAGGUGGCAAGCGUUGUCCGGAAUUAUUGGGCGUAAAGCGCGCGCAGGCGGUCCUUUAAGUCUGAUGCGAAAGCCCACGGCUCAACCGUGGAGGGUCAUUGGAAACUGGGGGACUUGAGUACAGAAGAGGAAAGCGGAAUUCCAAGUGUGGCGGUGAAAUGCGUAGAGAUUUGGAGGAACACCAGUGGCGAAGGCGGCUUUCUGGUCUGUAACUGACGCUGAGGCGCGAAAGCGUGGGGAGCAAACAGGGAUUAGAUACCCUGGUAGUCCACGCCGUAAACGAUGAGUGCUAAGUGUUAGGGGGGUUUCCGCCCCCUUAGUGCUGCAGCUAACGCAUUAAGCACUCCGCCUGGGGAGUACGGCCGCAAGGCUG
rnacentral:rRNA from 1 species